rnacentral:lncRNA from 10 species
CUCAAAGUGCUGGGAUUAUUAGGAGAUUCAGGAAGUACCGAAUGACCUCAAGGACCUAAUAUCCUCAAUUCUACCAGAACUGGAAGAAUUGGAAGAGGACUCUGAGCAUCAGAUAAGAACACCGGCUAGAUAACACCUUGGUUUCCGCCUUGUGAUACCAUGAGCAGAGAACCUAGCUGCGACCCAAAAGCUACAGGAGACAAGAAGCAGGCCAAAAGACACACUGGCAACUUCUAUGUGCAUUCAGGGGUGAGCAUCCUGAAGCCCAGAGCUGCAAAUUCUACAAGAGAAGCCUCCUACCUGUAGGUUUCCUUAAAUCUUAUUCUGCUCCAGAAAGGCAUUCAAGAUGAGUUGUGGGAUUUUAACUCAUGAGAAACAUGUAAGGCACAUCCAAUGCUGGACACAAAAGUCAUCACUGCA